GGAUAGCCCGAUGAAAGUUGGAUUAAUACCGCAUAUAGCUAUAUAGUUGCAAGAUUAUGUAGUGAAAGAUUUAUUGGUAUAGGAGGAGUCUGCGGCACAUUAGCUAGUAGGUGAGGUAAAGGCUUACCUAGGCGACGAUGUGUAGCCGGUCUGAGAGGAUGAACGGCCACAAUGGAACUGAGACACGGUCCAUACUCCUACGGGAGGCAGCAGUGGGGAAUAUUGCACAAUGGGGGAAACCCUGAUGCAGCAACGCCGCGUGAGUGAAGAAGGUUUUCGGAUUGUAAAGCUCUGUUAGCAGGGAAGAGGAAGGACGGUACCUGCAGAGGAAGCCACGGCUAACUACGUGCCAGCAGCCGCGGUAAUACGUAGGUGGCAAGCGUUGUUCGGAAUAACUGGGCGUAAAGGAUGCGUAGGCGGUUAAACAAGUUAUAUGUUAAAUAUAUAGGCUUAACCUGUAGAAAGCAUAUAAAACUGUUUAACUAGAGUGCAGGAGAGGUAAGUGGAAUUCCUAGUGUAGCGGUGAAAUGCGUAGAGAUUAGGAAGAACACCAGUGGCGAAAGGCGACUUACUGGACUGUAACUGACGCUGAGGCAUGAGAGCAUGGGGAGCAAAC
rnacentral:rRNA from 1 species